rnacentral:rRNA from 1 species
GACGAACGCUGGCGGCGUGCUUAACACAUGCAAGUCGAACGGAAAGGCCCUGCUUUUGUGGGGUGCUCGAGUGGCGAACGGGUGAGUAACACGUGAGUAACCUGCCCUUGACUUUGGGAUAACUUCAGGAAACUGGGGCUAAUACCGGAUAGGAGCUCCUGCUGCAUGGUGGGGGUUGGAAAGUUUCGGCGGUUGGGGAUGGACUCGCGGCUUAUCAGCUUGUUGGUGGGGGAGUGGCUUACCAAGGCUUUGACGGGUAGCCGGCCUGAGAGGGUGACAGGCCACAGUGGGACUGAGAUGCGGCCCAGACUCCUACGGGAGGCAGCAGUGGGGAAUAUUGCACAAUGGGCGGAAGCCUGAUGCAGCAACGCCGCGUGCGGGAUGACGGCCUUCGGGUUGUAAACCGCUUUCGCCUGUGACGAAGCGUGAGUGACGGUAAUGGGUAAAGAAGCACCGGCUAACUACGUGCCAGCCGCCGCUGUAA